rnacentral:rRNA from 1 species
UACGUAGGGUGCAAGCGUUGUCCGGAAUUACUGGGCGUAAAGAGCUCGUAGGUGGUUUGUCGCGUUGUUCGUGAAAACUCACAGCUUUACUGUGGGCGUGCGGGCGAUACGGGCAGACUGGAGUACUGCAGGGGAGACUGGAAUUCCUGGUGUAGCGGUGGAAUGCGCAGAUAUCAGGAGGAACACCGGUGGCGAAGGCGGGUCUCUGGGCAGUAACUGACGCUGAGGAGCGAAAGCGUGGGGAGCGAACAGG